UCCGUAGGGGGAACCUGCGGAGGGAUCAUUACCGAGUUUACAACUCCCAAACCCCUGUGAACAUACCUAUACGUUGCCUCGGCGGAUCAGCCCGCGCCCCGUAAAACGGGACGGCCCGCCCGAGGACCCCUAAACUCUGUUUUUAGUGGAACUUCUGAGUAAAACAAACAAAUAAAUCAAAACUUUCAACAACGGAUCUCUUGGUUCUGGCAUCGAUGAAGAACGCAGCAAAAUGCGAUAAGUAAUGUGAAUUGCAGAAUUCAGUGAAUCAUCGAAUCUUUGAACGCACAUUGCGCCCGCCAGUAUUCUGGCGGGCAUGCCUGUUCGAGCGUCAUUUCAACCCUCAAGCUCAGCUUGGUGUUGGGACUCGCGGUAACCCGCGUUCCCCAAAUCGAUUGGCGGUCACGUCGAGCUUCCAUAGCGUAGUAAUCAUACACCUCGUUACUGGUAAUCGUCGCGGCCACGCCGUUAAACCCCAACUUCUGAAUGUUGACCUCGGAUCAGGUAGGAAUACCCGCUGAACUUAAGCAUAUCAAUAAGCGGAGGA
rnacentral:rRNA from 1 species